rnacentral:rRNA from 1 species
ACGAACGCUGGCGGCAUGCCUAACCCAUGCCAGUCGAACGAGACCUUCGGGUCUAGUGGCGCCCGGGUGCGUAACGCGUGGGAACCUGCCCUUAGGUUCGGAAUAACUCCCCGAAAGGGGUGCUAAUACCGGAUAAUGUCUUCGGACCAAAGAUUUAUCGCCUUUGGAUGGGCCCGCGUUGGAUUAGCUAGUUGGUAGGGUAAAAGCCUACCAAGGCGACGAUCCAUAGCUGGUCUGAGAGGAUGAUCAGCCACACUGGGACUGAGACACGGCCCAGACUCCUACGGGAGGCAGCAGUGGGGAAUAUUGGACAAUGGGCGAAAGCCUGAUCCAGCAAUGCCGCGUGAGUGAUGAAGGCCUUAGGGUUGUAAAGCUCUUUUACCCGGGAUGAUAAUGACAGUACCGGGAGAAUAAGCUCCGGCUAACUCCGUG